UAGGCUUUGUUUGGGUGUUCCUCCGUGUGU
rnacentral:piRNA from 1 species